AGCGAACGCUGGCGGCAGGCCUAACACAUGCAAGUCGAACGAACCUUUCGGGGUUAGUGGCGGACGGGUGAGUAACACGUGGGAACGUGCCUUUAGGUUCGGAAUAACUCAGGGAAACUUGUGCUAAUACCGAAUGUGCCCUUCGGGGGAAAGAUUUAUCGCCUUUAGAGCGGCCCGCGUCUGAUUAGCUAGUUGGUUGAGGUAAUGGCUCACCAAGGCGACGAUCAGUAGCUGGUCUGAGAGGAUGAUCAGCCACAUUGGGACUGAGACACGGCCCAAACUCCUACGGGAGGCAGGAGUGGGGAAUCUUGCGCAAUGGGCGAAAGCCUGACGCAGCCAUGCCGCGUGAAUGAUGAAGGUCUUAGGAUUGUAAAAUUCUUUCACCGGGGACGAUAAUGACGGUACCCGGAGAAGAAGCCCCGGCUAACUUCGUG
rnacentral:rRNA from 1 species